rnacentral:rRNA from 1 species
AUGUCAAAUCAUCAUGCUCCUUAAGAUCGUGGGCUACAAACGUACUACAAUGGCGCGAACAAGGGGAGCGAAGCCGCGAGGCGGAGCAAAUCCCAAAAACGCGUCCCAGUUCGGAUUGCAGGCUGCAACUCGCCUGCAUGAAGUUGGAAUCGCUAGUAAUCGCGCAUCAGCAUGGCGCGGUGAAUACGUUCCCGGGCCUU